AUCCGUGUGGCCUAACGGAUAAGGCGUCUGACUUCGAAUCAGAAGAUUGCAAUAUCGAACCCUGCUUCGGACG
rfam:Stegodyphus mimosarum contig166562, whole genome shotgun sequence.